rnacentral:rRNA from 1 species
UACGUAGGUGGCGAGCGUUGUCCGGAUUUAUUGGGGUUUAAAGGGCGCGUAGGCGGCCGCCUAAGUCAGACGUGAAAUCCCCAAGCUUAACUUGGGAACUGCGUCUGAUACUGGGUGGCUUGAGUUCGGGAGAGGAAUGUGGAAUUCCAGGUGUAGCGGUGAAAUGCGUAGAUAUCUGGAGGAACACCGGUGGCGAAGGCGGCAUUCUGGACCGAAACUGACGCUGAUGCGCGAAAGCCAGGGGAGCAAACGGG